GACGAACGCUGGCGGCGUGCUUAACACAUGCAAGUCGAACGGAAAGGCCUGCUUUCCCUUGUGGAUUGCGGGUACUCGAGUGGCGAACGGGUGAGUAACACGUGAGUGAUCUGCCCCCAACUUGGGUAUAAGCCUGGGAAACUGGGGCUAAUUCCCGCUAGGACUGCAGGGUGGUGCGUGUGGUUGAAAACGAUUGUCUAGGGGUUGGGGAUGAGCGCGCGGCCUAUCGGCUUGUUGGUUGGGUAAUGGCCUACCAAGGCGGCGACGGGUAGCCGGCCUGGGAGGGCGGACUGCAAGAGUGGGCGGGAGAUACGGGCCAGACUUCUACGGGAGGCAGCAGUGGGGAAUAUUGGACGAUGAGAGGGAGCCUGAUGCAGCGACGCCGCGUGGGGACGACGGCCUUCGGGUUGUAAACUUCUUUCGACAGCGAGGAAGCCACCUGGUUGGAACGGUGGUGACGGUAGUGGUAGAAGAAGCACCGGCUAACUACGUG
rnacentral:rRNA from 1 species